GAAGAGGCAGAUAUGUCCUCACCCACACAGCGAACCUACAGCAGCUCCCUCAAACGCUCCAGCCCCAGGACCAUCUCCUUUCGGAUGAAACCCAAGAAAGAAAACUCGGAAACAACCCUAACUCGCAGUGCCAGCAUGAAGCUCCCAGACAACACAGUGAAGUUGGGAGAGAAGCUGGAGAGAUACCACACGGCCAUACGGAGAUCAGAAUCUGUCAAGUCUCGGGGUCUGCCUUGCACUGAGUUAUUCGUGGCUCCUGUGGGUGUAGCCAGCAAGCGCCACCUCUUUGAGAAGGAACUGGCGGGCCAGAGCCGAGCAGAACCAGCCUCCAGCCGGAAGGAGAACUUGAGGCUCUCAGGGGUUGUGACAUCAAGGCUCAACCUGUGGAUCAGCAGGACCCAGGAAUCUGGAGAUCAGGACCCCCAGGAGGCACAGAAAGCAUCAUCUGCAACCGAGAGGACUCAGUGGGGACAGAAAUCUGACUCCUCGCUGGACGCUGAGUCCCCGCUGAGACUGAGCAGACGCCUCCAGGAUCUGUCGGCAGCUGCUGUUCUGAGGGAGAGCAGAGACCAUGUCUGACAU
rnacentral:lncRNA from 1 species